CCCUUAGAUGUUCUGGGCUGCACGCGUGCUACAAUGAAGCGUCCAACAAGAUGCGAAGCCGAAAGGCUCAGCGGAUCUUUGAAGUCGUUUCGUGACCGGGACAGUUGAUUGCAAUUAUUCGACUCGAACGAGGAAUUCCUUGUAAUCGCGAUUCAUCAUAUCGCGCUGAAUACGUCCCUGCCCUUUGUACACACCGCCCGUCGCUCCUACCGAUUGAGCGAUCCGGUGAAUAAUUCGGACUGCAGCACUGCUUGGUCUCCAGGCUUUGCAGCGGAAAGUUUAGUGAACCUUAUCACUUAGAGGAAGGAGAAGUCGUANCA
rnacentral:rRNA from 1 species